UACGGGGGGGGGCAAGCGUUGUUCGGAAUUACUGGGCGUAAAGGGCUCGUAGGCGGCCAACUAAGUCAAACGUGAAAUCCCUCGGCUUAACCGGGGAACUGCGUCUGAUACUGGAUGGCUUGAGUUUGGGAGAGGGAUGCGGAAUUCCAGGUGUAGCGGUGAAAUGCGUAGAUAUCUGGAGGAACACCGGUGGCGAAGGCGGCAUCCUGGACCAACACUGACGCUGAGGAGCGAAAGCCAGGGGAGCAAACGGG
rnacentral:rRNA from 1 species